rnacentral:rRNA from 1 species
CUGGUUGCAAAGGGCUAUGUUCAGCGUCACGGUGUAGAUUAUGAGGAGGUGUUCGCCCCUGUUGCACGACUCGAGUCAAUCCGGCUUCUCAUCGUAGUUGCAGCACAACAGAAAUGGGAAAUACAUCAUAUGGAUGUUAAGACCGCGUUUCUGAAUGGUGAACUGAAAGAGGAGGUGUACGUCGCUCAACCCCCUGGAUUUGAGAUCAAAGGGCAAGAGCAAAAGGUUCUGAAGCUACACAAAGCCCUCUAUGGCUUAAAGCAAGCGCCUAGAGCAUGGAAUGAGAAACUGGACAGAACUUUGAUUGAUUUGGGAUUUCAGAAAUGUCCACUUGAGCAUGCAAUGUACAGAAGAGAAAAACUUGCUGUUGGAGUAUAUGUGGAUGAUCUUAUAAUCAUAGGACCAAGCUCAACUGAAAUAGAAAAAUUUAAGGAGCAAAUGAAGAAAAUGUUCAGUAUGAGUGACUUGGGGCUCCUGAGUUAUUAUCUUGGCAUAGAAGUGAAGCAACUGCCAAAUGGAAUUUUUCUGAAUCAAUCCAGUUAUGCGGGCAAGAUCUUAGAGAAAAGUGGGAUGAUUGACUGUUACUCUGCUCAAACCCCCAUGGAAGCCCGGCUGCACUUGAGCAAGUCCAGCACCUGCAAGCCAGUUGAUCCAACAAUGUAUCGCAGUAUUAUUGGGAGCCUGAGGUACCUG